GAGUUUGAUCAUGGCUCAGAUUGAACGCUGGCGGCAUGCUUUACACAUGCAAGUCGAACGGCAGCACGGGGUUUACCCUGGUGGCGAGUGGCGAACGGGUGAGGAAUACAUCGGAACGUGUCUAUAAGUGGGGGAUAACGCAUCGAAAGAUGUGCUAAUACCGCAUAAUCUCUCAGGAGAAAAGCAGGGGGAUCGCAAGACCUUGCGCUUUAGGAGCGGCCGAUGCCUGAUUAGCUUGUUGGUAAGGUAAAAGCUUACCAAGGCUUCGAUCAGUAGCUGGUCUGAGAGGACGACCAGCCACACUGGGACUGAGACACGGCCCAGACUCCUACGGGAGGCAGCAGGGGGGAUUUUGGACAAUGGGGAAACCCUGAUCCAGCCAUGCCGCGUGAGUGAGAAGGCCUUCGGUUGUAAGCUCUUCUAG
rnacentral:rRNA from 1 species